rnacentral:rRNA from 1 species
UACAUCGGAACGUGCCCAGUCGUGGGGAGUAACGUAGCGAAAACUACGCUAAUACCGCAUACGAUCUACGGAUGAAAGCGGGGGAGUCGCAAGACCUCGCGCGAUUGGAGCGGCCGAUGGCAGAUUAGGUAGUUGGUGAGGUAAAGGCUCACCAAGCCGACGAUCUGUAGCUGGUCUGAGAGGACGACCAGCCACACUGGGACUGAGACACGGCCCAGACUCCUACGGGAGGCAGCAGUGGGGAAUUUUGGACAAUGGGCGCAAGCCUGAUCCAGCCAUUCCGCGUGCAGGAUGAAGGCC